rnacentral:tRNA from 1 species
GCCGACUUAGCUCAGUAGGUAGAGCAACUGACUUGUAAUCAGUAGGUCACCAGUUCGUGGUAGAGCGCAUCCUUGGUAAGGAUGAGGUCGGCAGUUCGAGUCUGCCUAUCAGCACCA